UAUGAACUAUUUUCUUCAGUACGAAAGGACCAAGAAAAUAGGACCUAUGCUCACAGCAAGUCCUCAUUACCCAUUGAAGCAAUAUCAACCCAACAGUACCAACCCACCCUAAAACAGGGAC
rnacentral:rRNA from 1 species